UCUGCCCNCUGAUAAAUUAUUUAAUGGCCGCAGUAUUUUAACUGUGCAAAGGUAGCAUAAUAAUUAGUUUUUUAAUUGAAAGCUUGUAUGAAUGAUUGGACGAGAUAUAAACUGUYUCAUAAAAAUUUUUUUUAGAAUUUAAUUUUUUAGUUAAAAAGCUAAAAUAAAUUUAAAAGACGARAAGACCCUAUAGAWCUUUAUAUUUUUUUUUAUUAUUAUUUUUUAGUUUUUUUAUAAAUUAAUAAAURAAAAUAUUUUGUUGGGGUGACAUUGAAAUUUAAUAAACUUUCAAAAUUUAAUAACAUUGAUUUAUGAAUUUAUGAUCCUUUAUUAUUGAUUAAAAAUUUAAGUUACCUUAGGGAUAACAGCGUAAUUAUUUUGGAGAGUUCAUAUCGAUAAAAUAGAUUGCGACCUCGAUGUUGGAUUAAGAUUAAUUUUGGAUGUAGCMAGUCAAAUU
rnacentral:rRNA from 1 species